AUCACUGCCUUUUCUCAAUUCUCGUCGUCCCUGCCGCUCCGCCAAAGGGCCGCGACCUUCCAUCCUCUGUUCUGUGACAGCGUGCCUGGCCUUCCUCCACCGUUCUCAAAUCGGGGAACAUGCUUGUCAACUGCUUCAUAAGCCGCCUCGUGCCGCUAGUCUGAGGAACAACGGCGUGAAGAAAUUGGUGUUCAUGUCUAGAGGUGAUGCACCUCUACCAGUCUUUUGCUUUGGGGAAUUUCUUAUCCUGGGCUCGAUUUGUCAUUGUUUGGGAAUCUCCCCUCAUUUUAGAAGGGCUCCACAUCAUUGCUAUUAACUAGUUCGCAUAUCAAGUUUCCUGCUUAAUCUUUAUAUGCACUUAAUUCAUCUGAUACGCGAUUCUUCUCCCAGCCGAGGAAAGUUUCAGUUUUCGAACUUCUAUCUGAUGAAUUUUCGGUUUUAAAGAUGUUUAAACGAUGUCAAUAUCGCAGAUUAAAAACGAUGUGAAAAGUUAUGUGACUGAUUUUCACUUGAGUACAUAUACACGUUGAGUAAAUCCUUCCAAUCCCUGUUUAUUUUAAUGGUAUUAAACAUUAUCUGUUUGACAGAUUACAAUCGGUGCAUGGCAAUAAAUAUAGAAGAUAAGAUACGAUGCCCGCUGUCUUAAACAAAGAGCAUGUGGGACUUAUUCGAUCCUAGAAGUAUGUAGGAUCUAUUCAGUUUUUAGCUUCACACAUGGAGUAAUCUGUCUUAUGUUUUACACACCUUAAUACCUUUAUCUUGCAGAUGGGCUAAUCCUCGCCAUUGACUGGGGAGGAACGAUACUUAUGGUAUCUGUGGUAAUAUCAUCUGGGAAGUCCACGGAUGAUUCAGCUACUAGACAGUCCUUCAAUUGGAUGACCACAGUGCUUAUAGUUGGUCUCUUGUCAGAGUGUGGUGAUGUGCAUGACAUUGCAAUCUCUAUUACCUUCCAUAUAGAAUUAACAUCGUAGUAGCCCCUCAUUCUUUGGUCCGCAAUAUCGGCUAUAUCUCCUCUUUCUAUUCUGGACUGCACUUGCUGGGUUAUGUGAGUUCUCUGCGAAUCGUUUCCAAUUGCUGGCUUUCCUGUCACAAGUUCUAGUAGUACGAUCCCAAAGCUGUAAACAUCACUCUUCUCAUUCAGCCUAUUUGUUUUAUAAUACCUGCAUAGAUAGAAUACGAAAAUUAAGGAAAUUCUCAAGUUGAGGCUCUAUGAACAAAGGAUGGAUUUUCUCUGACAUACUCAGGAUCAAGGUAUCCAGGAGUUCCUGCAAUGAUAGUUGAUAUGUGAGUAGCCUCUUCAUUGGUGAAAGACCUGGACAACCCAAAGUCUGCUAGCUUGACUUCAAAUUUUUCAUUUAAGAGGAUAUUUGAAGGCUUCACAUCUCUGUGAACAAUAGGCGGCUUGCAGCCACUGUGCAAAUAGUCAAGUCCUGGAAUUUAAAAUAUGACCAUCAUAAAUCAUUACCAUAAUAAAAAAUAAGAAAUAUUAAUGAUGUUUCCUAAGUGAACCUUGUGCAGCUUCAAUUGCUAUACGGAGUCGCAGUCUCCAACUUAAGAUAUUGUUAUUAUUGGCAGAGUCACCUGUGUGUAGUUGAUUGAUAUAUGAGAACUUGAAAGGGAAACAAAAUAAUUCAAAGUUCAGUGAUAAACAUGACAUUUGCUCAUAUGUGAAUGGUGUUUUGGGAAGGAGAACCUGAGAGAUGAUCUGCAAGGGAGCCCUGAGGCACGAAUUCAUAGACCAGUGCUAGGUUAUCGUUACAAUAUCCUAACAAGGAUACUAGAUAUUUAUGGUGCACUCUCUGCAACAGUUGAGCCUGAAAUUUCAAGAUACCUAUUAUUUUCGGGCAUAAAACAAUUCACGAACAAAUUAUCACUGGGCCCUGCUUCAGUAAGAGUAAAAUGUACAUAACUACCUUUGGGAUUUCAUUUUUAGUCAUGAAGGCUUACCUCAGCUUUAAACUGCUUCAGUCCCUGAGUUGAUGAUUUUGAAAGUACUUUCACUGCAACUUGAGUUUCAUCUUUUAAACGGCCGUGGUAGACGGUUCCAAAACCUCCUCUUCCAAUGGGUCGUUCAAAGUUAUUGGUGAUAUUUACUAUAUCUGAUAUUGAAAAUUGGUCACUUUCAGAGAGCAGUCUGUUUUCCUUCUCAACUAACUGGCGGUUACCAUCCCCUCCUUUUUGGCCCCUGUAUAAUUCUACUGCAAUAAAAUAUAAUGUUAAAAUAACAGUUUGAGUGACCUUCCGACAAGUGUUGAUGCAAGACUUGAUGAAGUUAAAAAAGUAGCAGAAGUUAGAGAUAUGUACCUUGGGCACCGUUUUGGGUUUUGUUGACCCUUCUUCGUUUGAGGAUACAUAAUAUGGUGACGAUCAUAAGAAGUAGCAGAAAGGAUGCCGAAAUAGCUAUUGCAAUGGGAAUGAUAAUCUUUUUCUUCUUUGUCGUUGAUUGACAGAGACUCGCUGUGCUGCAUAGAAUUGGAUUGUUUUUGAUCCUGAAUUUUUAACAUAGUAGGUGUGAGAAAAGGGUGAAUACCCUAAUUUACUAUUUAUCCAAGCUUUACAGAACGAUUUACACAAAUUUAACCGAUGACCAAGUAUGCAGUGAUGGACUAUUCCUUUUUUUCUGUACUUGAUGUAUAUGACACAGCCAUGUUCGAUGUUCUAAUGUAACUGGGCACCGGUUUUCUUUGAGUUAUGGGGAAAAGUCGUUAAUUGAUGUUUUGAAUGUUUGUAAUGACCAUAUUUCGGAAAAUAAAAAUAAUUCGGAUUAUAUACAGCCGUUCUUUCUUAAUUAUUACUUUUGAAAUGAAAUAAUAAAAAGCUAGUCGGAAGAAACAAUCUUGGCAAGUACUCAUGUACUAUCAGUGUCUGAAUGUUUUUUAUUAUCCACUUAAGACUUUGUACCAGGGAUUUUUCUCAACUAUCUUUUAUGGGGCUUGGUGGAUAAAGAGACUUGGGACUCUGGAGCGAGUUAGCAGUGGGAAAUAAUCAAGAUUUAUGGAUUUUUUCUCAUGUUUUAUAUAUUUUCCAUUGUUCGCAUAAACUUUUGUUUGAAAUUACGUGUACCAUAGCAUAUUAUCCAAUGAAUAUGGGUGCAGAGCUAACCGUAAUUGUAAUGAUCCAUCUUGUGUUCUUUUGAAAAGAGUUUCUGGAACAGUCCCAUUCAAAUUAUUGCUCUCCAAGUUCCUGCAACCAGGGAAUAUUUAACCAUCAGAUACUCCCUGGAUGUAGGGCCAAACUGCAGAGUUCAAAGUUUCGAAGCAUACAGGAUCUUGAGAGCUGGCAGCUUCUCCAUAUAAGCAGGUAUUUCACCUGUAAAGUUGUUAUACGAUAGAUCCCUGAAACCAAUGGACGAGAGUUAAGUGUAAGUUUAUCUACUUUCUUGCUUGGCAUGCAGCAGCUUUGUCAGCAAGGUUUUAUUCUCAGUUGCAUCAGAGAAACACAAACUCGUACUUGCCUUGAAAUAAAAAAUAACUAUAAAUAGUUGAUGGUGAAAGAUUUUUCAUUUAAAAAGAGGCUUGUAAUUUCUUUAAAUUGCCCUUUUUUUAAACGAACUUACAAGG
rnacentral:lncRNA from 1 species